rnacentral:rRNA from 1 species
UGGCGAACGGGUGAGUAACACGUGGGUGAUCUGCCAUGCACUUCGGGAUAAGCCUGGGAAACUGGGUCUAAUACCGGAUAGGACGAUGGUUUGGAUGCCAUUGUGGAAAGUUUUUUCGGUGUGGGAUGAGCUUGCGGCCUAUCAGCUUGUUGGUGGGGUAAUGGCCUACCAAGGCGUCGACGGGUAGCCGGCCUGAGAGGGUGUACGGCCACAUUGGGACUGAGAUACGGCCCAG